GAUUGCCUUUCCAUUGCUUUCGAAUGGUGAGAUUUCUGAAGGGUUGGCCAAGAAGAUCAAGAGUAUUAACGCAAGAGGAGCACAUUACGGUCUGGUAGUUUCCGGCGAAGCAGAACUCAAUGUAUUUCUCGCUGUGGGCGUCUUCCAACCUGUAGAUAUCUCUGGUCGAAGGUUCCAUGUGGGAAUGUUUAGAGGGAGCAGGACAAUUUUAGUCAUGAGCGGAAGUGGAUCGGUGAACGCAGCACAGACAACACAGCUGUUGCUCACUCACUUUCGUGUGAAGGGAGUAAUUCACUAUGGAAGAGCGGCCAGCGCAAACCCCAAAGAUCUCCGUGUUGGUGACGUUGCUAUUCCCAGUCAAUUCGCACACACUGCCGUCUCUGGUACUGGCA